rnacentral:rRNA from 1 species
UAAUACCAACUCCCCGAGUGGUCAGGGUGUUUACUGGGCUUAAAGCGUCCGUAGCCGGCCUAGUAAGUUCCCUGUUAAAUCCGAUGUUCCAAGCAUCGGGCUGCAGGGAAUACUGCUAGGCUUGGGAGCGGGAGAGGUCGGCGGUACCUCCCGGGGAGGGGUAAAAUCCUUAGAUCCGGGGGGGACCAUCGGUGGCGAAGGCGGCCGACCAGAACGCGUCCGACGGUGAGGGACGAAAGCUGGGGGUGCGAUCCGGAUUAGAUACCCGGGUAGUCCCAGCUGUAAACGAUGCA